AUUGAACGCUGGCGGCAGGCCUAACACAUGCAAGUCGAGCGGCAGCGGGAAAGUAGCUUGCUACUUUUGCCGGCGAGCGGCGGACGGGUGAGUAAUGCCUGGGAAAUUGCCCAGUCGAGGGGGAUAACAGUUGGAAACGACUGCUAAUACCGCAUACGCCCUACGGGGGAAAGCAGGGGACCUUCGGGCCUUGCGCGAUUGGAUAUGCCCAGGUGGGAUUAGCUAGUUGGUGAGGUAAUGGCUCACCAAGGCGACGAUCCCUAGCUGGUCUGAGAGGAGGACCAGCCACACUGGAACUGAGACACGGUCCAGACUCCUACGGGAGGCAGCAGUGGGGAAUAUUGCACAAUGGGGGAAACCCUGAUGCAGCCAUGCCGCGUGUGUGAAGAAGGCCUUCGGGUUGUAAAGCACUUUCAGCGAGGAGGAAAGGUUGAUGCCUAAUACGUAUCAACUGUGACGUUACUCGCAGAAGAAGCACCGGCUAACUCCGUGCCAGCCGCCGCUGUAAAAC
rnacentral:rRNA from 1 species